rnacentral:rRNA from 1 species
GAUGAACGCUGGCGGCGUGCCUAAUACAUGCCAGUCGAGCGAACAGACGAGGAGCUUGCUCCUCUGACGUUAGCGGCGGACGGGUGAGUAACACGUGGAUAACCUACCUAUAAGACUGGGAUAACUUCGGGAAACCGGAGCUAAUACCGGAUAAUAUAUUGAACCGCAUGGUUCAAUAGUGAAAGACGGUUUUGCUUUCACUUAUAGAUGGAUCCGCGCCGCAUUAGCUAGUUGGUAAGGUAACGGCUUACCAAGGCGACGAUGCGUAGCCGACCUGAGAGGGGGUUAGGCCCCGGUGGGAGAGAAAGAGGAGCAAGACUCGAACGGAGGGAAGGAGUAGGGAACUAACGGAAAGGGGGGAAAGGCUGAAGGGACAACGGGGGGGAAGGGAAGAAAGUCUUGGGGUGUGAAAGAUGUGUGAUUGGGGAAAAAAAAAUGGUUAUGUAAGGGAGGAGGAUGAAGGGAAACGAGGAAAAAAACCCGGGGAAAACAGGG